CGUAGGGGCAAGCGUUGUCCGGAAUAAUUGGGCGUAAAGGGCGCGUAGGCGGCUCGGUAAGUCUGGAGUGAAAGUCCUGCUUUUAAGGUGGGAAUUGCUUUGGAUACUGUCGGGCUUGAGUGCAGGAGAGGUUAGUGGAAUUCCCAGUGUAGCGGUGAAAAUGCGUAGAGAUUGGGAGGAACACCAGUGGCGAAGGCGACUAACUGGACUGUAACUGACGCUGAGGCGCGAAAGUGUGGGGAGCAAACAGGAUU
rnacentral:rRNA from 1 species